rnacentral:rRNA from 1 species
GACGAACGCUGGCGGCGUGCUUAACACAUGCAAGUCGAACGAUGAAGCUGGAGCUUGCUCCGGUGGAUUAGUGGCGAACGGGUGAGUAACACGUGAGCAAUCUGCCCUUGACUCUGGAAUAACUGCGGGAAACUGUAGCUAAUACCGGAUACGAGGCUCGAAGGCAUCUUCGGGUCUGGAAAGAAUUUCGGUCAAGGAUGAGCUCGCGGCCUAUCAGCUUGUUGGUGAGGUAAUGGCUCAACAAGGCGACGACGGGUAGCCGGCCGGAGAGGGUGACCGGCCACACUGGGACUGAGACACGGCCCAGACUCCUACGGGAGGCAGCAGUGGGGAAUAUUGCACAAUGGGCGAAAGCCUGAUGCAGCAACGCCGCGUGAGGGAUGAAGGCCUUCGGGUUGUAAACCUCUUUUAGCAGGGAAGAAGCGAAAGUGACGGUACCUGCAGAAAAAGCACCGGCUAACUACGUGCCAGCCGCCGCAGUAA